GCAGACAAAGAUCCCCCCGUAUACUGUUGGGGAAAGUGCAGUUAGCGAGCACCAAUUAUUCAUUUGAGGCUGAGUCGACCUAGGAGAGGACCAGAACUGGUUCAGGAGAUCACUGGUGGCCGUGAUCGGGAAUCGAACUCGGAUCGCCAGGUGAUUCUAUGGCAGGAGAAAGUCCGUGGGGAGACAGCGAUUUGAGUGCAUUCUGGGACUACACGCCUCUGCACGAGGCCGCCCUGCACGGACACCUCCUGAACCUCACACAGCUCCUCGCACAGGGGGCGAGCGUGGACGCUCGCACGCGUGGUGGGGUGGAGCCGCUGCACGCCGCCUGUCUGGGGGGCCACGCUCGCUGCGUGGAGGCGCUGCUCAAAGGGGGG